CCUACGGGCGGCAGCAGUGAGGAAUAUUGGUCAAUGGACGAGAGUCUGAACCAGCCAAGUAGCGUGAAGGAUGACUGCCCUAUGGGUUGUAAACUUCUUUUAUAUGGGAAUAAAAUGUUCCACGUUUGGGAUUUUGUAUGUACCAUAUGAAUAAGGAUCGGCUAACUCCGUGCCAGCAGCCGCGGUAAUACGGAGGAUCCGACCGUUAUCCGGAUUUAUUGGGUUUAAAGGGAGCGUAGGUGGAUUGUUAAGUCAGUUGGGAAAGUUUGCGGCUCAACCGUAAGAUUGCAGUUGAAACUGGCAGUCUUGAGUACAGUAGAGGUGGGCGGAAUUCGUGGUGUAGCGGUGAAAUGCUUAGAUAUCACGAAGAACUCCGAUUGCGAAGGCAGCUCACUGGACUGCAACUGACACUGAGGCUCGAAAGUGUGGGUAUCAAACAGGAUUAGAUACCCUUGUAGUC
rnacentral:rRNA from 1 species